AGCAUAUCAAUAAGCGGAGGAAAAGAAACCAACAGGGAUUGCCCCUAGUAACGGCGAGUGAAGCGGCAACAGCUCAAAUUUGAAAUCUGGCUCUUUUAGAGUCCGAGUUGUAAUUUGCAGAGGGCGCUUUGGCUUUGGCAGCGGUCCAAGUUCCUUGGAACAGGACGUCACAGAGGGUGAGAAUCCCGUACGUGGUCGCUAGCUAUUGCCGUGUAAAGCCCCUUCGACGAGUCGAGUUGUUUGGGAAUGCAGCUCUAAAUGGGAGGUAAAUUUCUUCUAAAGCUAAAUACUGGCCAGAGACCGAUAGCGCACAAGUAGAGUGAUCGAAAGAUGAAAAGCACUUUGGAAAGAGAGUCAAACAGCACGUGAAAUUGUUGAAAGGGAAGCGCUUGCAGCCAGACUUGCUUGCAGUUGCUCAUCCGGGCUCUUUUGCCCGGUGCAUUCUUCUGCAGGCAGGCCAGCAUCAGUUUGGGCGGUGGGAUAAAGGUCUCUGUCACGUACCUCUCUUCGGGGAGGCCUUAUAGGGGAGACGACAUACCACCAGCCUGGACUGAGGUCCGCGCAUUUAUGCUAGGAUGCUGGCGUAAUGGCUGUAAGCGGCCCGUCUUGAAACACGGACCAAGGAGUCUAACAUCUAUGCGAGUGUUUGGGUGUCAAGCCCGAACGCGUAAUGAAAGUGAACGGAGGUGGGAACCCGCAAGGGUGCACCAUCGACCGAUCCUGAUGUCUUCGGAAGGAUUUGAGUAAGAGCAUGGCUGUUGGGACCCGAAAGAUGGUGAACUAUGCUUGAAUAGGGUGAAGCCAGAGGAAACUCUGGUGGAGGCUCGCAGCGGUUCUGACGUGCAAAUCGAUCGUCAAAUUUGGGCAUAGGGGCGAAAGACUAAUCGAACUAUCUAGUAGCUGGUUCCUGCCGA
rnacentral:rRNA from 1 species